CUUGACCCUAUCCCCUCCUCUCUUCUCCAGACCAUUUCCGGAGACCUUCUCCCCUUCCUCACCUCGCUCAUCAACUCAUCCUUGACCGCUGGCUACAUCCCUUCCGUCUUCAAGAGAGCGAGAGUUGCACCCCUUCUGAAAAAACCUACACUCGAUCCCUCCGAUGUCAACAACUACAGACCAACCUAUCUGCUGCCUUUGAUACUGUGAACCAUCAGAUCCUCCUCUCCACCCUCUCCGAGUUGGGCAUCUCCGGCGCGGCCCACGCUUGGAUUGCGUCCUACCUGACAGGUCGCUCCUACCAGGCGGCGAAUCGCAUCUCUGCAUGUCUGUCAGACAUAUCAGUGUGGAUGACGGAUCACCAGCUCAAGCUGAACCUCGGCAAGACGGAGCUGCUCUUCCUCCCGGGGAAGGACUGCCCGUUCCAUGAUCUCGCCAUCCCGGUUGACAACUCCCUUGUGUCCUCCUCCCAGAGUGCUAAGAACCUUGGCGUGAUCCUGGACAACACCCUGUCGUUCUCCACUAACAUCAAGGCGGUGAC
rnacentral:lncRNA from 1 species